rnacentral:rRNA from 1 species
CGCUACCUGCAGUCGAGCGGAGUGAUGGUGCUUGCACUAUCACUUAGCGGCGGACGGGUGAGUAAUGCUUAGGAAUCUGCCUAUUAGUGGGGGACAACAUUUCGAAAGGAAUGCUAAUACCGCAUACGUCCUACGGGAGAAAGCAGGGGAUCUUCGGACCUUGCGCUAAUAGAUGAGCCUAAGUCGGAUUAGCUAGUUGGUGGGGUAAAGGCCUACCAAGGCGACGAUCUGUAGCGGGUCUGAGAGGAUGAUCCGCCACACUGGGACUGAGACACGGCCCAGACUCCUACGGGAGGCAGCAGUGGGGAAUAUUGGACAAUGGGCGCAAGCCUGAUCCAGCCAUGCCGCGUGUGUGAAGAAGGCCUUAUGGUUGUAAAGCACUUUAAGCGAGGAGGAGGCUACUGAAGUUAAUACCUUCAGAUAGUGGACGUUACUCGCAGAAUAAGCACCGGCUAACUCUGUGCCAGCAGCCGCGGUAAUACAGAGGGUGCAAGCGUUAAUCGGAUUUACUGGGCGUAAAGCGCGCGUAGGCGGCUAAUUAAGUCAAAUGUGAAAUCCCCGAGCUUAACUUGGGAAUUGCAUUCGAUACUGGUUAGCUAGAGUGUGGGAGAGGAUGGUAGAAUUCCAGGUGUAGCGGUGAAAUGCGUAGAGAUCUGGAGGAAUACCGAUGGCGAAGGCAGCCAUCUGGCCUAACACUGACGCUGAGGUGCGAAAGCAUGGGGAGCAAACAGGAUUAGAUACCCUGGUAGUCCAUGCCGUAAACGAUGUCUACUAGCCGUUGGGGCCUUUGAGGCUUUAGUGGCGCAGCUAACGCGAUAAGUAGACCGCCUGGGGAGUACGGUCGCAAGACUAAAACUCAAAUGAAUUGACGGGGGCCCGCACAAGCGGUGGAGCAUGUGGUUUAAUUCGAUGCAACGCGAAGAACCUUACCUGGCCUUGACAUAGUAAGAACUUUCCAGAGAUGGAUUGGUGCCUUCGGGAACUUACAUACAGGUGCUGCAUGGCUGUCGUCAGCUCGUGUCGUGAGAUGUUGGGUUAAGUCCCGCAACGAGCGCAACCCUUUUCCUUAUUUGCCACCGAGUAAUGUCGGGAACUUUAAGGAUACUGCCAGUGACAAACUGGAGGAAGGCGGGGACGA